ACAGGAAGAGCCAAGAUUGUGCAGAUCUUCCCACAAACAUCAUCGAGAGGAUUGAUCCAUAGCACAGGUCCUCUGGCAGAGCCAGAGCCGGGCUCAAUAACCAGUCAGAAAUGAAUGAAUUCAGAUGAAACAAACGGCAACAUGAGCCUUUCUCUCCCGCCUGCCAGUCUGCGCAGCCCUGACCCUUCUGCUUACUACCGUUUUUUAAGGGCAGGGAAAUAAUCUGAUUGUUAUCAUUCCUGGACCUCUGUUAGAUUUGUCUCAUAUCCAUUGUUGGGGGAAUUCUCAUAUACCUGAAGCAAGACAAGCAACAUGGACGCUGCCUUUCACGUGCAGGAAUGCUAAUAUGCAAAUAUUGUGAAUUAUAACCCAUGGUUUCAUAUUUUAAAUGUUAAACUUUAAUGCAAUAUUCAAUUAAUUAAAAAUCCCAUUUGUGAUUGCGUGCAUGCAAUAACAAUUAUGUUAUGCUUAGGCAGUGACCGCAGUGCAAGGCAGGUGACUCUUUAAUUAAAGGGAUAAUAUGCUUCCAAAUCUUCAAAGAUCUCAGGUCUGCUUGUGAAAGGAAACCAUGCAAUCAGCCCAAGACUGCCUUGGGCACUGGAAAGAUGACGUGAACUCCACUCCUUCCCUAUCCUGGCCUAUCUCAUUGGUUUCUUCUUUCAUACUCCUUAGUUCAGAGCAGGCAUUCACAUUGCAUAUAUACAGUACUCUCAGCACUUAAUAUACU